UACGUAGGGUGCGAGCGUUGUCCGGAAUUACUGGGCGUAAAGAGCUUGUAGGCGGUUUGUUGCGUCUGAUGUGAAAAUCCGGGGCUCAACCCCGGACUUGCAGUGGGUACGGGCAGACUAGAGUGUGGUAGGGGAGACUGGAAUUCCUGGUGUAGCGGUGAAAUGCGCAGAUAUCAGGAGGAACACCGAUGGCGAAGGCAGGUCUCUGGGCCACUACUGACGCUGAGAGGCGAAAGCAUGGGGAGCAAACAGG
rnacentral:rRNA from 1 species